CGGUUUUAGGAAGUUAACAAACUAAAGAUACUUCAAAUGAGAUAAGUGGCUUGCUAAUCAGUAACAACUUGGAUGUUCCUUUUUUCUCCACUCGCAUCCAACACUCUACAAUAUCAAAUGAAAGAAAUAGUUAUUUCAUAAUUACAUUAAUAUAACAAAAAAUGUAGCAGCAAAAAUUGAUCGUAAUCAGUAUACCUGAUAACACGGUGUUUGUUCAACCUUGAGUUGAUCAUUUCUGGUUUUAUAAAUUGAUAUUUGUUUAUAGGAGUAUUGUUAAUAUCUUCUCGUUGUUUCUGGAGCACAGUUGUCAGGAAAAAAGAAAGAAAUUUUAAAAGUACUUGUCAUUGGUCUAAAUUCACCAGCAGUCUCAAUAACUUUGAAGUUCUUAAUAACAUAGACGAAUCUUCACCCGCAAAUUCUUGUACUUAUUAACUAAAUUCUUUAUUAUUGUAGCAUGUAUUAAAGUUUCCUGGUAGAGGAAAAACAAUAAGUAUUUUCAAAAUUUGGUGCAAUGUGGGCUUUCAUAGGGACAACCAAACAUAUAGAGUUGAGCUUUAUUGGGCAAACGACAUAUUUGGGGUUCAUUAAGCAGACGGGUUGUAGGGGUAAAAAGUUAUAUUUUUUUUGUAUUUUUCUGAUCAUUAGGCUACAACUAAUGUAUUAAAUGCAUUAUAUGUGGAUCUUCAAGCAUAAUACAAAAGAGUAGAGAAGGAAAAUAUAAUAGCGCUAAUAUAGCAUCAAUCUAUAUUCAAUCAAAUGAAAAUAAUAAGGCAAUACGAUUUUUGCUGAGAAAAACUAUAUAUUUUCAUGAUCAUUACAAUAUUGCUGCUAUGUUUAAUGCAUAUGUCCGCUUCAAGCACAUGAAAGUUUAGAGAGGAAAAUAGUAGCAAAGGAGGAAGUUGAACAACUAUCCAAUAUCAAUUUCUGAGGCUAUGAUGAAAAAUUUAACAUAGUAUAAUCUUAUUCUUUUUUUCCUUAGUUAUUGAUUGGGGAAAAAAUUAUAGUAUUCCAGAAUAUUUGUGGGACUUUGUUCGGGAAAAAUUAUCAGUAAUAAAACAUUAAGUAUCAGAAUAUCAGGGACACAGUUAGUAUCAAUUGUGAAAAAAACAUAAUAGUGAAGAACAUUUGAAUUUUGAAAGUGAUUUAGAAUCUUUACAUCCUUAUUUAGUGAUUAGGUAAUGAAUUAUGGUAUCCCAGAAUAUUGACAGCAUAAGUAGGUAAGAAAUUAUAGUAUCCCAGAAUAUUGACAAUAUAAAUAUGAAUUGUGGGAAAAAACAUAAUAGUGAAGAAAGUACCUCAAAAGAUUGUGUUUUGGCAUCCUUGUUUGUCUAUACCUAUAUAAUUAGAUUAGGGUUCUUACAAGUUUGUAAGAGUCAAAUAUAUAAGAAUAAGGCAUAAAUGAUAAAUAUUAUUUUGAAAAGAUUACAGACCGGCUAUUAUGAAGUGAAUACCAUUUUUUUCUGAAGCCGUGGGCGAGGAUGAUUUUCUUCAGUGGCGUCGAAGUUAGUAUAUAUAUGGUGUGGGAAAGUAUAGAGAGUAGCAGUGUGAGCAAACUAUUUUUUUUUUCAGUUUUCCAAAUUAAUGAAUAGCUCAAAGAAGGUUAGAUGUAGGAAUUAAUAAAGUGAGAGUUAUGAGGGAAAUUUAGCAGGGAAAAUGGAGAUAGGUAUGAGGGAGAGAGAGUAAAGUAGGUUUUUGUGAUGUAAAGAAGCAGUGCGGGAAGAAGCAGUUGGGUGUGUGAAGCGUUU
rnacentral:lncRNA from 1 species